rnacentral:hammerhead_ribozyme from 1 species
AUCCAGCUGAUGAGUUGGAAAUAGGAUGUAACACGUGUUCUGGAU